ensembl:lncRNA
GAGCCACAAGAAUGAGCAACGUGAUUGACAGAAGGUUUUAAAAGAAUUGUGACAUUUUUGGCUAAAGCAAUCAUAGGAUCGCAGUGCAGUAGAAAUGGCUUUGGGAGAAAGUUGAAACCAUGCUGAACCCUCUCAUUUAUCUGCAAAAACAUAUUACUCACGUGGCAACAAUACUGACACUGUAUUGAACUGUUAUAUAGUAUCGUCCGCAAUUCAUUUUGGAUAAGAAAAGUAAAAUGUGAUUCAUCUAGUGUGCUCUGUUCCCCAAACAUAUAGUGUGCUAUCCAGUUGGUUUUUACAAUGCAAUAUAUAGGAGAUCGAAUCCCAGUGAGAUAGUUUCAUGAAUUUAUCACUUAUGGCUACAGAUAUGGUAUACUGUGGCAAUUAUCAGUUUGCAAGAAUAAGAUCUCUCUGCUUCAGAGUACCACGGUCACGACAAUGCAUCAACUAUAUGAUGACAUUACACACUUUUAUAGGCACAAUUAAAAAGACUGAAUGAGUUUGCUGAGUGUGUUCUCUGUAUGGGGUAAUGCUUAACUGUAAUAAUUAUAUAUUGAAUGAUGCAUGCGAGUUAUGUCGCGUGACCUGAUUAGUCAGAAAUAGUGUUUCCACUCUUUGGAAUGAGAUUGCUAUCAGUUGCAAUAAAACAAGCAAGACUCUACUUGAUGUGAACUGUGUGCUGCUAACAUGGUUGAGCCUUUGAACUUGUAUAUAAGACAUUUGAGAGACUAAUUCUAAGGAGCUGAAAUGGAGGUAGAGCGAACAGUUUCAGAACCUGACUGCAAUGACAGGAAUGGAGGAUGAAACACAGCGCUGUUGAGAGGAGCCUUUGUUGCAAGGAUCAGACGUGGCAGAUUCUGCAAGCCUGGCAGCCCUGGCGGCAUAGCUCUGCUGGUUUAAUUACCAGUGCUGCUCACAGGGUGGAGGAAACCUUCAUAGUAGUGGGAGAACCACAGGUCAAUCUCCUGGCUGGUCCCAAACCGGCCCAGCUCAAAUGCUUUGUCAGGUGGGUGCUAGCUGACAUCCCUUGCUACUGCUCUCCCUCUUCAGUUCAUGGAGUGCUCUGGUGGGGAAAGCAAAUCUGUUUUCUAAUGAGCAGUGACUUGCAGAGCCUUUUUAUAAUGCCAAUGACAGGGCUUUUGGCACUGUCUUCUGAUGCACCUUUUGUACACAAAAUAUCCAAUAUACAUAUGUGAUCUGGCUUUGCUUUCGCACGGAUAUGUGCAAGAGCAAGCAUGGCCAGCUCAUGUGACUCAUCAGAUGUUCUUAGCGCUCAUACAAAGAAAUUCUCUUGAGGAAGAUGGCUUUGGGUCACAUGCUCAGGUCCCAUCUUCGUAUCUCAGUUUGCCCGAGUUCAGGAGGAAAACUAUAAACCUGUGUUGGCAGAGCCUGGACCAGCUUGGUGCCAUGGCUUCGCUGUCAGCUGGGGUUGGUUGAAUUCAUGGGAUUUUAAAGAAUUUGGGUAAGUUUGCUUUUCUGUACAGAUAAUGUAUGCACUUGGUGCUUUACCUGAGGACAGCAGAAAUGAUCUGUAUAUCACUCAGAAACAACUUGUUAUGAGCAAACUUGCUUGAUUGCCGCUGUGCAUUUGAGGCUGUUGUUGUUUUAAAUUACUUUUAUUCCAGCAGCACCUCAAAGACCCUACCACAAAGAGGACAUGAUUUCCCAGCAAUAUAAAACACAAAACAGCACCUUCCCCAAACAGGUGAUGGUCUCAGUAUGUCUUGAAGGCUAAGAGAAGAUACAAGGGAGCAAAAGCACAAUGCAACAGAGCACUUGCUCACGGCGUCCAUUAGUUGAUAGGCAGGCAGGGGCAGGAUGCCAGAUUUUCUGAUGCAGUGCCACGUUCCCACUUUUCCAGUCUCCCCAGUUAUUACAUCUGCCUUUGUCUUUUCACUGUGAGGGCAGUCUAGAGAAAUCUACUGUUAUCUGAUUCAUCUUAUAUUUCUUGAUGCAGCCACUGCCCUUGCUAACACAGCGCCUGCCCUCCUGCUCUGCAGGCUUUGGAGCUGUGCUCCCGGAGUCACCCUUGAACGCGGGUGACAAGUGAGGCAUUUGUCCUAGCAGAUGGGGUACACGGAAGGCAGACCUUGGCUACAUGCAAGCUGUCCUUGUUGAAACACAUAUCAGACUGACCCUGCUCGCUGCAGGACAUCACCUGACCAAGGCCAGUCCAGAACUACUGGGAAAGAGAAGGAGCAAGUCAGAGCCAGGUCUGAACUUGUAAAACUCUAUGGCCUCUCCAGAUUGCAAGCUUGAGUGAAUGCAAUUAAAAAGAUGAUGACUAGA